UACGAGUGCCCCGAGCGUUAUCCGGAAUCAUUGGGCGUAAAGGGUGUGUAGGUGGUGCUAUUAGUCUUCAGUUAAAUUCUUCGGCUUAACCGGGGGCAUGCUGGGGAAACGGUAGCACUUGAGGAUGCGAGAGGUGUGUGGAACGUCUAAGUGUAGGGGUGAAAGUUCGUAGAUAUUCGCAAGAACACCAGUGGCGAAGGCGGCUCUCUGGAACGCAACUGACGCUGAGACGCGAAAGCGUGGGGAGCAAACAGG
rnacentral:rRNA from 1 species